rnacentral:sRNA from 1 species
UUUAGGCUUAGGCUUAGGCUUGGGCGUAGGCUUAGGCUUAGCCUUAGGCUAAGGUUUAGGC